rnacentral:tRNA from 2 species
AAGAGGUGUAUAAACAAUUAGAGCUGCUAACUCAA